AGAAGAUGAUGGCUUUUUCUCAUGAUGGUCUGUAGAUGUCACUAUGGGGAGUGCCAAUAUGCCAAUGGUUUAGCUGAUGCCAGGAG
ensembl:snoRNA small nucleolar RNA SNORD35